UACGGAGGGUGCAAGCGUUAUCCGGAUUUACUGGGUUUAAAGGGUGCGUAGGCGGGCCGGUAAGUCCGUGGUGAAAUCUCUGAGCUUAACUCAGAAACUGCCAUGGAUACUAUUUGUCUUGAAUGUUGUGGAGGUAAGCGGAAUAUGUCAUGUAGCGGUGAAAUGCUUAGAUAUGACAUAGAACACCAAUUGCGAAGGCAGCUUACUACACAAAUAUUGACGCUGAGGCACGAAAGCGUGGGGAUCAAACAGG
rnacentral:rRNA from 1 species